AGAUGUCCAGUGUGGAACGAACUGUGUG
rnacentral:piRNA from 1 species